UCACCGUUAGGCGCAGUGGUUAGCGCGUCCGAUUCCAGUCAGACGACGGGUUUCCGGAAGGUCCUCGAUUCGACUUCGAGAGUGAU